CGGGCCAGAAGAGGAGCGUUACCCAGGUACGGUGUUGGAAGAGCCAUUCUGAAGAAAACACCUGAGGGGGAGUAACGCCGAGGUGGUGAAUUGCAUGGCGGCAUUCAUCAUCGGCUACAGGGGCUGAAUCCCUUGAGUUGUCACCAGAAACGUUCGCAGUCGGGCGUUUCACAAGUGGUGGAGCACUUCUGGGUGU
rnacentral:ncRNA from 1 species